UACGUAGGUGGCAAGCGUUGUCCGGAUUUACUGGGCGUAAAGAGCGCGCAGGCGGUCGUUCAAGUCGAGUGUGAAAGCCCCCGGCUCAACUGGGGAGGGUCAUUCGAUACUGAUCGACUCGAAGGCAGGAGAGGGAAGUGGAAUUCCCGGUGUAGUGGUGAAAUGCGUAGAUAUCGGGAGGAACACCAGUGGCGGAGGCGGCGACCUGGACGGACGACUGACGCUGAGACGCGAAAGCGUGGGGAGCAA
rnacentral:rRNA from 1 species